GGGGGCGUAGCUCAGUUGGUUAGAGCGCUGCCCUGUCACGGCAGAGGCCGCGGGUUCGAGUCCCGUCGCUCCCGCCA
rnacentral:tRNA from 6 species